rnacentral:rRNA from 1 species
GGGGGAAUAUUGCACAAUGGGGGAAACCCUGAUGCAGCAACGCCGCGUGAAGGAAGACGGUUUUCGGAUUGUAAACUUCUGUUCUUAGUGAAGAAUAAUGACGGUAGCUAAGGAGCAAGCCACGGCUAACUACGUGCCAGCAGCCGCGGUAAUACGUAGGUGGCAAGCGUUGUCCGGAAUUACUGGGUGUAAAGGGAGCGUAGGCGGGAAGCCAAGUCAGCUGUGAAAACUACGGGCUUAACCUGUAGACUGCAGUUGAAACUGGUAUUCUUGAGUGAAGUAGAGGUUGGCGGAAUUCCGAGUGUAGCGGUGAAAUGCGUAGAUAUUCGGAGGAACACCGGUGGCGAAGGCGGCCAACUGGGCUUUAACUGACGCUGAGGCUCGAAAGUGUGGGGAGCAAACAGGAUUAGAUACCCUGGUAGU